rfam:Gossypium raimondii Chr11_contig_1447, whole genome shotgun sequence.
UAUUAAAACUUUCAUCCAUUUGUACUGUUAAAACUGACAUAACAGACGAAAUAAUUAGACAACAACACGUGGCAUGCCAUGUUUACAAAAUAUUAAUACACCGAGACCAAUUUUUAAUGAUAAAAAUUGAUAAAAAAAUUAACA